AUGAGUAUCCUUCAGCUCAUGUAUCCUCAUUGACAUCAAUGUCAUCAUGUUCUUCUUCAAUGGUUAAAACUGAGCAUGAUAAGCAAGUGAUUGAGUUUGAGUAUUUAGAUGACAAAUUGUUAGAGGAACUUCUUGAUUGUGAUGAGAAUAACAUUAAGAAAAACUUGCCUAUGUAGGGUGAUGAAAAGUGUAAUGCAAUAUCUAGUGAAAAGAACAUUUGGUAUCAAGUUUGAAUAUUUAUUUACUAUUAGAUGUUAAAAGCAAAAUAUAUGUGAUUGUAUGACGAAUUUCUUCAUUACUUUACUAAAUAUGACUCGCACCAAAAACUUGCUAUUAAUGAGUUAAGAUAUGCUUCAACCUUAGUUUGGUAUGGCCUUAUAUAAAUUGGAAUUAUUUAUUUUUUAUUUAUAAAUGAUUAUAUUAAAAAAAAUCAUUCCCAGAAGGUUUUCCAAUAUCUUUUGAAGUAAGUAAGCUUUGACUUUUGAUACAUUGCAAGCAUGUUAUUUUUAGAUGUUACAUCUUUGUUGAGUAUAGUGUAUGAAAAACUAUGAGCAGCUUAAAUAAGGUUAUCUUUCGAUGAUGCUUUUUAUCUAAACCAUAAAAGUUGAAUAAAUUAUGUACAAAUAUAUUGUUAAAUAUAAAUAGGGUUUUAAUAUAAUCACACUCAUCAUUUUCCUCAUGCUCCAUAUUCCAAUUCUAAGAUGAUGUUACACUUAUAAAUAAUUAUUUAUAAAACGAAUUUAUGAUCUAAUUAAGACCGAUUAAGCUUUUAAAAUUUUGGUGAAAUAAUGAUGUGGAAAGCCCUUUCAUCUAUCGAGACAAUUAAUUAAUUAAAAAUAUAAAUGGAAUCACAAAAGUAUAACUGGGAUUAUUCCAUUUUAUUAGCCACGUCAGGUAGUUACGAUCAAGCAGAUUUCAACCAGAGUAGUUGUAAUUUUCUAAAUAAUAAAUACAAAUAAAUGAUUUUAUAAAAUCAAUAUAUAUACAAAUGCUCCUGCAUAACAAAAAAAGAGAAAAAUAUCUACAUAUUGAAACUGAAGGGUUUUCACAAUAUUAUUAUAUCAUAUAUUAUUUAAUUUUAAAUAUAAAUGAUAUAAAUGAAUAAUAAAUAAUAUAAUAACUUUACUGAUAUUUGUUUAUUUUUUAAUUAUUUUUGGAACAAGACAUCAGGCCUCUUAUAUUAUAUGCAUGUUAUUAUUACAUGGAAGUUGGUAAGACAAUUGAAGAGAAGAAACAAAACUAGUAGACACUUAUUGGAUAAAGCUUUUUUACAAAAUGAUAUUUUUUUAAGUGUAAAGUUUAGUGUAAAAUCUUAGUAGAACUUAGGAUGACCAAAAGUUAAAAAAAUUGAUUUUUAGAAAUGACACCGGUUGGAAUAAGCAAUUAUGCACCAAAAAAAUUAAUUACUUAUCCAUGAGGUGAAUGGAUAUAGAUAAGGAUCCCCUGUCCUAAUAAAAUCAUGUCCCUAUAUAUUAAGUCAAUCAAAUUUCAUAAAAUAAUGUAUAAAUAUUAAUUCAUGUUAUUAUAAUUUUUAUUUUCAUUUAAAUAUAAGAUUUUUUGAUUGGAAUGAGACACCAAAUAAGACAAGAAUGAAAACACUAGAAGAGUGUAAUAGUUUUUAUUUAUUAGUUAAUUAAUUAAUAAGAAAGUGCAGUAGAAUAAAUUAUUUUCUAUAAAAUCUGGACGAAACUCAGAGACAUGUUUGAACCUAUCAAAUUCUUCUAAUCACUUCCAUUCAUAUAUAUAUAUAGUAAUUGAAAUGAAAAGAUUUCUGACAUAAAAAUAAUAAAUUUAGAUAUUACAAAAUAAAAAAAGAAUAAGAGUUAUUACUUGUACUAAAUAAAAAAAGAGUAUAAAAUUUACGCAUUGUCAGUGUAAAAAUUUAUACACAUGCACCUCAACAUCUACCAUUUAUUUAGAUUACAUUUUUUGAAAAGUCAACAACAAUUAAAUAUCAAUGGUAGAUAAUGCAAUGAUAAUGUAUAAAACUCAUAUACUGUCAACCUAUACAUAUUUUUCUCAUAAAAAAAUCAGCAGUGACUUUAUUUGACAUACUUCAACCCCUUUCCUUAUAUCUCCCCUCAAAAGUGUAUGUCAUUUGGCAAUAGUUGUGACCAACAUUGGCACACAUGUAGUAUUUUCUAAAAGACCAGUCCUCUCAAUUUGCCAAAAGAUAAGAAAGAAUCUCACCAGAUCAUAGGUUUAAUACAACAAACAAUUUUCAUCAUUUAGGCAACAUAACCUUUUUAACGAUUUCCUCUACAUUGAAGAAGGGUGAUAAAACAAUUUUCUCUUUUAAAUUUUUGUAAAAAAAAUUCCUUUUAUUUUUUCCAAAGAAACGUUCUUUUUGCUUAGGAAAAGCAUUAGUAAAAAAGCACAAGGAGGUGCUUGCCGAAAAAAAAAGGAUUAUAUUCAAAUAUGACCCUACCUACAAAAAGCAAGAAUAUAAUACAAGACCAAUGAUCUAUGUACUACGGUGGAAAACAAGCAAAUUUGGUCCAAUACUAGAUGAAAAUUAAGAUCAUGAUCUAAUUUCAAUCCAAUGGUAUCUAUAUAGCUAACCUAUUUUCCUAUAUGAAAAUUAAAUCAUUCUGCAUUAGCCAAAUAGAUGGUAGAAUUGUGAACCACAAUUUUCUUAACAAGUGGCUCCCUUUGCAUUUCUACAUAGUAAAAACAUUUCCAAAUGUUUGAUGUAAAGAUACAAGUUGGUUAUCAAUCACAUCUCAAUUGGAGUGGAUCUAAAUGUACAACCAACUUACAAACAAAAUGAGUUAACUCUCCCAGACAAUCAACAUGAUUCACCUCCCUCCUAUAUCUAAGGCAAUUAAAUAUCAUAUGAAAUGAUGACUAUUUUGGAAAAUCAUGUUUGGGACAUGUAUAUAGUGGAAGUACAUUCUCAUUCCUGGAAAUUAAAGAUGUAGUCACUUUACUCAACCACAAAUUACAUUAUCUCAAUCACUAAUAUAUUACUAAAAAUGAAAUGGUAAAGAGGGAUAAACUAGGGGUAAGCAUGAGCCAGGUUGGACCGGGUAAGGUUUGUCCUUUACUCUAUCCUAAAUGUUGGUAGGGUCAUUUUUUUGAACUUGAACUCGAUCCUAAACUCGAAGUAAACAUGACCCCAAAUAUCAAUUGAGACAACCUUCCAACCCAAACUAGACACGAUUAAUUAUAUUGCAUACAUCUUUUACAUAAAGUUUUCUCAUUAUUUUAUUUAUUAUUAUGAAUAUGUAAUUUUGACACAUGAAAUAAUAUAUGUAUAUAUGCUGAGAAAUUAGAGAACCAAUGGUACUUUCGACAAAAGAGAUAUCAUUAUUCUAUGAUCGAUUGAAUAAAUAUACAUACAAACAUGAUAAGUGAGUGACCAUGAGACAGGUUAGACCGUGUCAUCUUUAUCCCCUACCCUACCUAAAAAUUGUACGAGUCUAAUUUUUGAACCUAUACCUGAUUGUAGACCGAUGAGACCCGAUCAUAUUUGAGUCCGAUCAUGAUUGGGCCAAACUAGAUGAGCAAGUAGGACCGAGUCUUGCUCACCCUAGGAUAAACCAUGAUUCUAUGAAUUUUGGAGAUGUCAAUGUUCUAUGGUAUUACUCACCUUAACUAAGACUCCUUUUACUAUUUUGUCCAUGAUAAUAGUAUCUUUCUGAAAAAUACUAAGUUCUAAAUCUUAAUAUUAAUAUAUGGGAGAGGAUCCACUUACUCUUGUUUUACAUCUUAGUCAUCUAUUUUAUGAAAAUCUAAUGAUUUAGAUCUACUCACUAAUUCAAAUCAUUAAAUUUUCAUAAAAUAAAUGACUAAGAUGUGAAGUAGUUUUUUUCCAUUUAAUUUUGGAGUAAGUUAAUUCUUCCCUUAAUAUAUAUUCUAGUUUAUGCAUACAAAUAUGUAUAAAUAAUUAUAAACUAGUGAAAAUUGAGGAAGUUAAUUUAUAAUAUAUGUUAGAGAAUGCAUUUAGUACAGUAAAACAGACAUGCUCAGGAUCGUUUUCUUUAAUUUUUUUAUAGAGAAAAGUGUCUAAUUUCUAAAAUAUGUCUAAAAAUAUUACAUUAAUAUAUGUAGCAAAAUAUAUAUUGAAAGGGGUUGGACCCCAUGAGAAGUUGUACUAGUUGCUCAGAUCACAUUUUCAAACAAAGACAACUCAAAAUAACCCAUUUACCAUGCUAAUCAUUGCUUACAUGUAUGCUGCGCUUAUGUGCUUCAACAUCAGGUCCAUCAAUUCGAUCACUGUCUUGUUGACAAAAGCCACUGCCAUUAGUUGGAAGAUUAUAUUUUUAUAUGAACAUAAAAGAUAUAUUACGUGUUCUAUAAAAUAUGGUUGUAGUUGUAUUAUUUUUAUCACGAUUCCAAAACUGUGGCAAGCCUAACAGCAAUCACAAGCUGCAAUAUUGUUACAGAAACUCUCAAAAUCAUAACAUUAUGACCACAAUUGAUGCUAUAGGUUGCAAUUUAAAAACUGAUUAUAUGAUUCACUCAUUUAUUACUAUUUACCAUGUUCAUCAAAGUAUGAUAACAAUAAUAAUGUAAAAAUUGACAAACCACGUAUAAACGAAUACCAUAUAACCGAUAUAGUGUUUCAAAUAACCAUGACAUAUACAAAAGAGAGAAAGAAAGGCAGAAUAUGAUAGAGUGGGGAGAAAGACGAGCUUAGUUUAUACCUUUUAGUGUCUCUUCCAAGUACUAGAUAUACUUUGUUCAUGAAAUACUAAGCAAUUAAGUAUCAAUUAAGUCAAACGUGGAAACACACAAGAAAUAUAAAACUAUCACUUCAAUGAUGCUUAAGGUAGAAGUGCAUUUCAGAC
rnacentral:lncRNA from 1 species